ACUUGAAGGAAUUGACGGAAGGGCACACCAGGGGUGGAGCUUGUGGCUUAAUUUGAAUCAACACGGGGAAACUUACCAGGACCAGAUGUUUUUUAUGACUGACAGGCUUCGGGUCUUUCAGGAUAUUGUUUUUGGUGGUGCAUGGCCGUUGGUGGUGCGUGGGUUGACCUGUCUAGCGUUGAUUCAGCUAACGAGCGAGAUUAUCGCCAAUUAUUUACUUUGCCGAAGUCCUUUCGGUUAAAGUUCUAAUUGGGACUCCCUGCGAUUUUAGCAGGUGGAAGAGGGUAGCAAUAACAGGUCCGUGAUGCCCUUUAGAUGCUCUGGGCUGCACGCGUGCUACAAUGUUAGGAUCAAUAGGACUGCGAGCCUGAGAGGGUGCGCUACUCUUAUAAUCCCUAACGUAGUUGGGAUUGACGUUUGUAAUCAGCGUCAUGAACCAGGAAUCCCUUGUAAAUGUGUGUCAACAACGCACGUUGAAUACGUCCCUGCCCUUUGUACACACCGCCCGUCGCUCCUACCGAUUGGAUGACUCGGUGAAAUCACCGGAUGCUUACGAGCAGAAAGUGAUUAAAUCACGUUAUCUAGAGGAAGGAGAAGUCGUAACAAGGUAACGGUAGGUGAACCUGCCGUUGGAUCAGUU
rnacentral:ncRNA from 1 species